rnacentral:tRNA from 1 species
UAGCCCAGCGGUUGAAGCAAUUGGCUGCUAACCAAAAGGUCAGUGGUUAGAACCCACU